rnacentral:rRNA from 1 species
CCCUUAGAUGUUCUGGGCCGCACGCGCGCUACACUGACGGAGGCAACAAGCCUAUCCUUGGCCGAGAGGUCCGGGUAAUCUUCGAAACUCCGUCGUGAUGGGGCUAGAUGAUUGCAAUUAUUCAUCUUCAACGAGGAAUCCCUAGUAAGGGCGCGUCAUCAACGCGUCCUGAUUACGUCCCUGCCCUUUGUACACACCGCCCGUCGCUCCUACCGAUUGGGUGCUCCGGUGAAUUGUUUGGACUGCUGUCAGUCUUUUUGGCUGUCGGCGAGAAGCUCUGUGAACCUUAGCACCUAGAGGAAGGAGAAGUCGUAACA